GGCAGAGAUAGCACGUUGAGUUCGCCAGUACAUAAUGGUUCACUGACGUUAAGCAACGUUGCGCUUGGUUAGUAUUCGGAUGGGUGACCAUCUGGGUAAUUCUGCCGGCUUUUCAACCC
rnacentral:rRNA from 1 species